rnacentral:lncRNA from 1 species
ACUUCCUCCUCCCGAGACCAGCCAAGCGCGCCUGGCUGUCUGCCCUUCUUGGGCUCUUGGGGAGAACGUGGUCCGGGAACUGGCAGUCACGGGGAGGCAGCACAAGAGGUUUUCGCCCUCAUGUGCUGGUGCAACUAUCGCGACCAUCACCCUGAGAACUGGAGGAAGGGUGCCGCAGGCAAAGAGUGGCGCGCCUGCAGAUUCGGUUCCGCGCUUGGGGCUCUCGCGAGACCCGGCGCUGGAGUGUGGACCGCGCGUGCCGGUGACGCGUGGUGCAGACACGUCGCCGGUGCCUCUCUCCCUAGGCCUUCCUGGGGGUGAGCUUCCGUCCCAGACGUCUUCGGUCCUACACUGCUUCCAUUUCUUUUUUUUUUUUUUCCUUCUUUUUUUCUUUGAGACAGGGGCUCAUUCUAUCACCCAGGCUGGAGUGCAGCGGCGCGAUCUCGGCCCACCGUAAGCUCCGCCUCCCGGGCUCAAGCGAUCCUCCCACUUCAGCCUCCUGAGUAGCUGGGACUCCAGGUGAGCGCCCUGCUAAUUUUAUAUUUUUGGUAGAGACGGGGUUUCGCCAUGUUGCCCAGGCUGGUCUCAACUCCUGGUCUCAAGUGAUCCGCCUGCCUUGGCCUUCCAAAGUGCUGGGCUUACAGGCGGGAGCCACUGCACCCAGCCCUACGCCCCAUCUUUCUGGGUUUCUGCCUGGUAUUGUUACAUCUCCAACAGGCUUAACUCAAAGCUGACUUUCCGCCUGUGCUGUAUCUGCCCCAUGGUCCUUUAGAGUAUAUAAAAUAUAAAUGGCACUUUGGGAGGCCGAGGCAGGAGGAUUGCUUGAGCUCAGGAGUUACUGACCAGCCUGGGCAACAUAAGCGAAACUCCAUCUCAAAUAAUAAUAAUAAUACAAAUAAAUAAAUGUACACACACAAAUAAAUGGACUUGAUAGCGAUUUUUUUAGGUUUUCAGCUGCCCAAUUCAAGAAAUGUAUUUCUUCUUGUCCCUGAUUUCCGUCACUGUCCCAAGGCAGUGGGAUUAAAGCACCACUACCGUUUUUAGAUCCUUGUGUUUGGCAUUCCAUGUCCUCCUCUCAAGACGUUUGACGUAACUUUCUCCAUCUGCUCUGUUGAAACAUAUGCUUCAAAAUCUUUUUUUUUUUUUUUUUGAGACGGAGUCUCGCUCUGUUGCCCAGGCUGGAGUGCAGUGGCGCGAUCUCGGCUCACUGCAAGCUCCGCCUCCCGGGUUCAAGUGAUUCUCCUGCCUCAGCCUCCCAAGUAGCUAGGACUACAGGCGCCCGCCACCAAGCCCGGCUAAUUUUUUGUAUUUUUAGUAGAGACGGGGUUUCACCGUGUUAGCCAGGAUGGUCUCGAUCUCCUGACCUCGUGAUCCACCUGCCUCGGCCUCCCAAAUUGUUGGGAUUACAGGCGUGAGCCACUGCACCCAGCCUACCAGCCUAGACCUAGUUUUAGUUCCUUUUUUUGCUUCACUCCAUUGUAGCUUAGGAAGCUAGUUUCAAUUCCGGAUUCUACCGUCUAUCUGUAUGACUGGGCCUUUGGUCAGUCUUUCUAAAAUGAAGAUUGCUCAUUUUACAAAUGAGUAAAAACUACCUGACAUGUAGUGCAGGCUUUGUAAAGCACUCAUCAUGCUGCUUGUCAUACUGUAAGCACUGAUAUGGCAUAGGAAACCCAACCCCCAAACAUAGCACCUUGGAAGUUGAGAAAACAGCAUAUACUGGAAGGCCACUGUCACAUCUCCCUCACCCGUCUCUGAAGCAGGCCAUAAAGCCUAGGAAGGUCAUCCUCUUAUCUCUCUUGAAAACCCUCAUGUGGCAGGUGUCCUGCCCUAUAUCAGGGUGGAAGGAAUGUCACACAGGGACACCAAGAAUAAUCUGAACAAACAGGUCUUGCUAAUCUCAUGCCCCCAAUUUAUUACCGUGAGAUCAUACCCGCUUUGUUCAAUCAUACUUCUGCACAACUAUCCACUUUCUCAAACCUAUGCAUAAAAGUACACAGACUUUUCUUUGGGUCAUUUCCUUAGGAAGACUCCCCAUCAUGUAAAACUUAUAUUACACAAAUUUGUAUGCUUUUCUCUUGUUAAUCUGUAUUUUGUUAUAGGAGUCUCAGCCAUGAACCUUACCAUGGUUAAGGAAAACUUGCUUUUUCUUCUCUACACACUCAAAUAAAUUAGUUUGCCUCCUUUUCCAUGCUUACCCAAUAUAAAAUAGUAAAAUGCCUCUUUUUUUUUUUUUUUUUUUUUUUUUCUGAGAGGGAGUCUCGCUCUGUUGCCCAGGCUGGAGUGCAGUGGCGCGAUCUCGGCUCACUGCAACCUCCGCCUCCCAGGUUCAAGCAAUUCUCCAGCCUCAGCCUCCUGAGUAGCUCGGAUUAUAGGUGCCUGCCACCACGCGUGGCUAAUUUUUGUAUUUUUAGUAGAGAAAGGGUUUCGCCAUAAUGGUCAGGCUGGUCUCGAAUUCCUGACCUGAGGUGAUCCACCCAUCUUGACCUCCCAAAGUGCUGGGAUUGCAAGCGUGAGCCACUGCGCCCGGCCUAAAAUGCCUCUUAGUAAGACUUAAUUUCUGUCCAGGCAUGGUGGUUCAUGCCUGUAACCCCAACACUUUGGGAGGCCGAGGCGGGUGGAUCACCUGAGGUCAGGAGUUCGAGACCAGCCUGGCCAACAUGGUGAAACCCCAUCUCUAAUAAAAAUACAAAAAGCAUUAGCCGGGCAUGGUGGCGGUGCCUGUAAUCCCAGCUACUCGGGUGGCUGAGGCAUGAGAAUCACUUGAAUCCGGGAGGUGGAGGUUGCAGUGAGCUGAGAUGGCGCCACUGCACUCAAGCCUGGGUGACACAGCAAAAAUCUGCCUCAAAAAAACAAAAUAAAAAAUGAGAAAAAAUACUUAAUUUGUGCUGUGCCACCAAAAAAUGUGCAUGCUAGAAACUGUACUUUACACUAUGACAUUUUAUGUAACUGUCUUAUUUCCCCCAUGAGACUGCAGUGGUCUCAAGGGUAGAGGAUUGACCUUGUCCAUAUGUGUUUUCUAGGCUUCCAUCAUUUGCCACAGACUGAGACAUGUACUAAGUUGUACGCCGUAAAUACUUCAUAAAUAGUUACUGAAGGCAUAAAUAGGCAGAGAGUAGAGUUUGUUUGUUUGUUUGUUUGCUUACAAAAAAAGGGAAAAGAAAGCAAAUGCUGAAAAAACUUGCUGUUAAACCAUGCACGCACGACAUGAGGUCUUUGUAAUUGGUUCAGGAAGAUUUCCUUCUCCCCAUGCUCCACCCUCUUCAUUACAAAGAUGAAAUUAUUUUUAUGUUUAAUAUUUAUUUAUUUAUUGAGACGGAGUUUUGCUCUUGUUGCCCAGUCUGGAGUGCAAUGGCAUGAUCUCAGUUCACUGCAACCUCCAUCUCCUGGGUUCAAGCGAUUCUCCUGCCUUAGCCUCCCAAGUAGCUAGGAUUAUAGGCAUGCGCCACCAUGCUCAGAUAAUUUUGUAUUUUUAGUAGAGAUGGGGUUUAGCCAUGUUGGUCAGGCUGGUCUCGAACUCCUGACCUCAGGUGAUCCGCCCGCCUUUGCCUUCCCAAAGUGUUGGGGUUAUAGGUGUGAGCCACUGCAUCUAGCCUUUUUUUUUUCUUUUUUUCUUUUGAGACAGAGUCUCACUCUGUUGCCCAGGCUGGAGUGCAGUGUCAUGUGAUCUUCGCUCACUGCAACCUCCUCCUCCCAGGUUCAAGUAGUUCUUCUGUCUCAGCCUCCUGAGUAGCUGGGACUACAGGCACCCGCCACCACACUCAGCUAAUUUUUUGUAUUUUUAGUAAAGACAGGGUUUCACCAUAUCGGUCAGGCUGGUCUUGAACUCCUGACCUCAGGUGAUCCACCCGCCUCAGCCUCCCAAAGUGCUGGGAUUAUAGGCUUGAGCCACCACGCCCAGCCAUGGCCUAUUAUUAUUAUUAUUAUUAUUAUUAUUACUAUUAUUAUUAUUAUUAUUAUUAUUUUGUGACAGAGUCUUGCUCUGUUGCCAGGCUGGAGUGCAGUGGUGCUAUCUUGGCUCACUGCAACCUCCACCUCCCAGGUACAAGCGAUUCUGCUGCCUCAGCCUUCUGAGUAGCUGGGAUUAUAGGCGCGCGCCACGACACCCAGCUAAUUUUUGUAUUUUUAGUAGAGACGAGGUUUCACCAUGUUGGCCAGGAUGGUCUCAAUCUCUUGACCUCAUGAUCCGCCUGCCUUGGCAUCCCAAAGUGCUGAGAUUACAGCCAUAUAUUUAUUAUUAUUAUUAUUAUUAUUAUUAUUUUGAGACAGGUUCUUGCUCUGUCACCCAGCCUGGAGUGCAGUGGCAUGAUCUUGGCUCACUGCAACCUCUGCCUCCUGGGAUCAAGCAAUUCUCUUGCUUUAGCCUCCCGAGUAGCUGGGAUUACAGGCACACAACACCACACCUGCCUAAUUCUUCUACGUUUUGUAGAGAUGGAGUCUCGCCAUGUUGCCCAGCCUGGUCUUGAAUUCCUGGCUUCAAGUGAUCCUCUAGCCUCAGCCUCCCAAAUUGCUGGGAUUACAAGGAUGAGCCAAUGCACCCAGCCUGUGUUUAUUCUUUUAAAUGAUAGUAAAGUACAAUAGAGGGAGAGAAUUGCAGGUUAUAUUUUUUGUUUGUUUCUCUGUUUUUUAUUUAAUGUCUCCCCAGAAACCUCCAUAGGUGCUUCACUUUCUAGUUUAGUUCCUGCUAAUUUUAAUAGCUCAAAUGUUACCCUAUCAGGGGUGUCAGUGGGAGAGCCCUGCGGAAGUGGAGUUCCCUGAGGAGGAAAGUUUCUACAUUCAGAAAAGACUUGGCUUGGGUUUUGUCGGGAGGUAAAAAUGGGUCAGUGACUCAGAAAAGCUUGCCUAAAAGCUGACAUCUAGUGUUCAUUUCUGAAAAUAUGUCCUGACAUACUAACCCUGAGAUUUUCUAUCCCAAGAACUGUUUUUAUUGAUUUUAUUGUUACGCACCAGAUUUCAAGACCAUUUGACUACCCAAAGAAACACAACUUAGAAAAUAAUUAUGGUUUUCACUUUGUUUUAAUCACAAUACAUAUAAUACUGCCAAAACAGGACUUUGGAUCAACAGACAUAAUAGCAAUUAUUAUUAUUUUAUUUUACUUAUUAUUAUUAUUUUUGAGACGGAGUGUCACUCUAUUGCCCAAGCUGGAGUGCAGUGGCAGGAUCUUGGCUGACUGCAACCUCCGCCUCUCGGGUUCAAGCGAUUCUCCUGCCUCAGCCUCCCAGGUAGCUGGGAUUACAGGCAUGCGCCACCAGGCCUGGCUAAGUUUGUAUUUUUAGUAGAGAUGGGGUUUCACCAUGUUGGCCAGGCUGGUCUCGAACUCCUGACCUCAGGUGAUUCACCUGCCUCGGCCUCCCAAAGUGCUGGGAUUACAGGCGUGAGCCACUGCACCUGGCCAGCAAUUAUUUUAUUUAUUUGAGAUAGAAUCUCACUUUGUUGCCCAGGUCUGACUUUGCAGUGGCACAAGCAUGGCUCACCACAGUCUAGAUCUCCUGGGCUCAAGCAGUCCUCCCGCCUCAGCCUCCCUAGUAGCUGAUACCAUAGGCCUGCACCAUCGUGGCCAGCUUUUAAAAUUUAUUUUUGUAGAGACAGGGUCAGCCUGGGCAACAGAGUGGGACCCCUCUCUCUUUUUAAAAUUAUUUUUUAUCUUUUUUUUUUUUUUUUUUUUAAACAGGGUCUUGUUCUGUCACCCAGGCUGGAGUGCAGUGGUGUGAUCUCAGCUCAGUGCAGCCUCAACUGCCAGGGCUCAAGUGAUCCUCCCAACUCAGCCUCCCGCAUAGCUGGGACUACAGGUGUGUGCCGCCAUGCCUGGCUAAUUUUUAAUUUUUUUUGUAGGGAUGGAGUUUCACCAUGUUGCCCAGUCUGGUCUGGAACUCCUGGGCUCAAGCUAUCCACCCAUCUCAGUCUCCUAAAGUGCUGGGACUACAGGCGUGAGCAACUGCACCUGGCUGAUCCAUCAUUUUUAAUAGUGAGAUAUUUGAAAUUUACUCUUCUAGUUAUUUUGAAAGAGAAACUAUGGCUGGGCAUGAUGGCUUAUGCCUACAAUCCCGCGCUUUGGGAGGCCAAGGCGGGUGGAUCAUCUGAGGUCAGGAGUUCUAGACCAGCCUGGCCAACAUAGUGAAACCCCUUCUCUACUAAAAAUACAAAAAUUAGCCGGGCGUGGUGGCGGGCGCCUGUAAUCCCAGCUACUUGGGGGGGCCGAGGCAGGAGAAUCGCUUGAAGCUGGGAGGCGGGAGGUUGCAGUGAGCCGAGAUCACGCCACUGCACUCCAGCCUGGGUGACAGAGUGAGACUCCAUCUCAGAAAAAAAAAAAAAAGAGAAACUACAUCGUUAUUAUUAUUUUGUUGUUGUUGUUGGUUUUGGCCAAACUUUUUAUUUAGUAUGCUGUAGUUGUUUAACACACACUUAAAUGGUCUUAUUGGGGGAGGGGAAAGGAGAGGUUCCUGCAGAUUCCCAAACAAAUGUCAGAAAGGCAAAAUAGCCAGCAUUCUCCAUUUGCUUUUUUGGGUUUACUGGGUGAAUAGCACUUCCCUUACAUAGGCAUCUGAUUUCAGGUUUUUCAUACUGAGAACAUUGAGAUUUCAGCUGGAAGACACCCUGAAAUCUUCUGAGUAGCAUACCUCAACCACCCUCUAAUAACUGACUUGUUUGUAUAGGCAGAACGAUUCAUCUCUCCAUUUUAGAUGGCUAGAUAAAACUACAUCAUUAUUGAUUAUAGUCACUCUAUUGUGCAGUAAAUCUCAAAGCCUUCUAUCUGAAAUUUUGCACCCUUUGAUUAACAAUUCCCCAUUCUCCUCGUCUCCACUCUCCCCAGCCUCUGGUAGCCAUCAUUCUACUAUCUGCUGCUAUGAAUUUGACAUGUUUGGAUUCCACAUAUAAGUGAGAUCAUGUAGUAUUUGUCUUUCUAUACCUGGCUUAUUUCACUUAGCAUAAUGUUUUCCAGAUUCAUCCAUCUUGUCACAAAUGAUGGUAUUUACCUACAUUUUUGUUUUUGGAGACAGGGUCUCACUUUGUUGUCCAGGUUGGAGUGCAGUGGUACAAACACAGCUCACUGCAACCUCAACCUUGACCAGGCUCAAGUGAUCCUCUCACCUCAGCCCCCCAAGUAGCUGGGACUACAGGCGUGAACCACCACACCCUGCUAAUUUUUUUUUGUUUUUGAUACGGAGCCUCACUCUGUCACCAGGAUGGAGUACAGUGGUGCCAUCUUGUCUCACUGCAACCUCUGCCUCCCAGGUUCAAGCAAUUCUCCUGCCUCAGCCUCCUGAGUAGCUGGGAUUACAGGUGCACACCACCACGGUCAGCUAAUUUUUGUAUUUUUAGUAGAGACAGGGUUUAACCAUGUUGGCCAGGAUGGUCUCAAUCUCUUGCCCUCGUGAUCCUCCCGCCUCAGCCUCCCAAAGUGCUGGGAUUACAGGCAUGAACCACCGUGCCCGGCCUGGACUUUUUUCUUUUUUUUGAGACAGGGUCUCACUAUGUUGCUCAGGCUGGAGUGCAGUGGCGCAGUCUCAGCUCACCGCAACCUCUGCCUCCCAGGUUCAAGCGAUUCUCCUGUUUCAGUCUCCCAAGAAGCUUGGGAUUACAGGUGCCUGCCACCAUGCCCAGUUAAUUUUUGUAUUUUUAGUAGAGACAGGGUUUCACCACAUUGGCCAGGCUGGUCUUGAACUCCUGACCUCAGGUGAUCUGCCUGCCUCAGCCUUCCAAAGUGCUGGGAUUACAUGCUUGAGCCAACGCGCCUAGCCAAAAAGGACUUCUAUAGGAAGGACAAAUAGGUUUCUCUAAAAAAGACAAAUGUGUUUUUAGAAGAACAAAUGGGAGACAUGCAAACAUUAUCACAAACCAAACUUUCUUAUAUAGGUGUGAGUGGUCUUUUUCAGGUUCAUAAAACUGCCAGAGAGGGGAUUUAUGGUAGGUUUAUUCUGGGUCUCUCCCCUGGGAGUAGAAGCCACCCCAAACAGGAAAUUUAUGUCCGUCCUCAUUUCUCAGAAGUUUCUACUUUUAAUCAAAUAAGGGAAGUCCCAAGGAAGCUUCUUUCUGCAUCUGUUCCAUCUCAAAUGUCUUCAGCUUAAAAUAAUCUUUAUACUAACUCCAGUGUUCUGAGUGGGACCCCACAAUUGUAUAUUUAAUCACCUUGUGAAACUUGACAAGUAUUUAACCCAACAUUUUCUGAUUUGGAAUAUUUUAGAGAAUGUGAUUCAUUAAUAAAUCAUUUAUCAAAAAAAGAGAUCAUUGGUUUGACAGUGCUGGGCUUACAGGCAUGGGCCACCAUGCCCGGCCAGCAGUAUGUAUUUUAGUUGACUGGCAAACAGACAAUUGUUCCCUUUUUUCCUUUUUUAAAUUUCAAGCCUUGUCACUGUGUCAUAAGACAAUUGUUCAUGAUGUCAUAAAUGUAAUUUUUACUUCAAUAAACUAUAAUACACUUGUAACAUUCCAGGCUCUUUUUAUUGUGUGUGUGUGUGUGUGUUCUUUUUUAAAUUUUUAAUUAUUGGCUGGGCACAGUGUCUCAUGCCUGUAAUCCUAGCACUUUGGGACGCCAAAGCAGGUGAAUCACUUGAGGUCAGGAGUUCAAGACCAGCCUGGGCAACAUGGUGAAACCGCGUCUCUACUAAAAAUACAAAAAUUAGCUGGGUGUGGUGACACACAUUUGUAAUUGCAGCUACUCAGGAGGCUGAGGAAUGAGAAUCACUUGAACCCGGGAGAUGGAGGUUUCAGUGAGCCGAAAUCGCACCAGUGCACACCGGUCUAGGUGACAGAAUGAGAAUCUGUCUCAAAAUAAAAAAAAAUGGUUUUCAGGCCUUUCUUUUUUUUGUUAGAGACAGGAUUUCACUCUGUCUCCCAGACUGGAGUGCAGUGACACAAUCAUAGUUCACUGCAGCCUUGAGCUGUUGGGCUCAGGGAAUCCUGCCUCAGCCUCUUGAGUGGCUGGGACUACAAGCAUGCCACGAUGCCUAGCUAUUUUUAUUUAUUUUUUAUUUUUAUUUAUUUAUUUUUGAAACAGAGUCUUGCUUUGUCACCCAGGCUGGAAUGCAGUGGUGCGAUCUGGCUCACUGCAACCUCCGCCUCCUGGGUUCAAGCAAUUCUCCUGCCUCAGCCUCCUGAGUAGCUGGGACUACAGGCGUGCACCACCACACCCAGCUAAUUUUUGUAUUUUUAGUAGAAACGGGGUUUCACCAUGUUAGCCAGGCUGGUCUCGAACUCUUGACCUCAGGUAAUCCAUCUGCCUCGGCCUCCCAAAUUGCUGGGAUUACAGGCGGUAGUCACCAUGUCUGGCCAAUUUUUAAAAAGAUUUUACAGAGACAGAGUCUUGCUAUGUUGCCCAGGCUGGUCUUGAACUCCUGGCCUCAAGCGAUCCUCCCACCUGGGCCUCCCAAAAUCCUGGGAUUAUGGGCAUGACCCACCCCAACCAUCCUGGUUUUUAGGCCUUUGUAACUAAAUAAUUUAUUCACUCAAGUGACAACUCUCUGCUUCCAUAGCAAAAUACAAAGAUUUAUGAAAGAUUUUUCCAGAUAAAAUCAUUUAACUUUAGGCCAGGCGUGAUGGCCCAUGCUGUAAUCCCAGCACUUUGAGAGGCUGAGUGGGUCAAUCACAUGAGGUCAGGAGUUCGAGACCAGCCUGGCCAACAUGGUGAGACUCUGUCUCAUUGUUCCUUAGAAAUCCAAGAGUAGGCUGAGCGUGGUGGUUCAGGCCUGUAAUCCCAUAACUUUGGGAGGCCGAGGUGGGUGGAUCACCUUGGGUCAGAAGUUCGAGACCAGCCUGGUCAACAUGGUGAAAUCCCGUCUCUACUAAAAGUACAAAAAUUAGCAGGGCAUGGUGGUGGGUGCCUGUAAUCCCAGCUAUUCAGGAGGCUGAGGCAGGAGAAUCGAUUAAACCUGGGAGGCGGAGGUUGCAGUGAGCCGAGAUCAUGCCAUCGUACUCCAGCCUGGGUGACAAGAGUGAAACUCCAUCUCAAAAAAAACAAAAAACAAAAAAAAUUAAGAGGAGCUUCUGUUACAAUAACUGUUUUAGUCAAAAAAUCAGGUGAAAACAGAACUCAGUCAACUGAGAAGCAAAAAAAAGACAAGGUCUCAGGAGAGAAAAACAAACAAAAAACAAAAACACAAAGGCCUUUCAAAUACGAACAUGCACACAUGCACACAUACACACACACAUCUUGGAUGUUAACUUUUUAAUUAAGCUGACUUUUAACCAUUAAGCUCAUUUUUAAAAAAAUUUUUUUAUCUUUUUUUUUUUGAGACGGAGUCUCUCUCUGUCGCCCAGGCUGGAGUGCAAUGGUGUGAUCUUGGCUUACUGCAACCUCUGCCUUCCGUGUUCAAGUAAUUCUCCUGCCUCAGCCUCCUGAGUAGCUGGGAUUACAGGCACGCACCACCACGCCCGGCUAAUUUUUUUAUUUUUCGUAGUGACAGGGUUUCACCAUGUUAGGCUGGUCUUGAACUCCAGACCUCGUGAUCCACUUGCCUCAGCCUCCCCACCUGCUGGGAUUACAGGUGUGAGCCACUGUGCCCAGCCUUUUUAAAAUCUUAUUACCAUAUUUCAGCUAAGACAAAAUGCUGUUAUUUCAGAAAUACAGGCAUUGCUCUUUCAGUUUGGUCUGGCUGGCAAAAAGGUGGCCUUGUUAUGUAAAUAGAGCCCCUUUAGUAGUUAAAAUUUAAAAUCUUUUCUUUUCUCUUAUAUUUUCCCUCUUGUUGGCUGUUUUCCUCCCACUUCAGAGGCCUUGUUCCCAGUAAUUUAGGGUUCCCCUUCUGAUUUGACCAAGACAGAAACAAAACAGUUAAGCACAACUAUUUCUGAGCGCCCUAAGUGUAAGCAGAAGUUAACACCAGCUGGUUGUUCAUGCUAAUUUUAGUCAUUUAAAAGAAUUUGCAAGACAGAAUCCCAAACCAGUUUCUUACCUAGUGACGGGGCCAAGCCGGAGAUCGCUCUCCACUGAUGCAGAAGCAGAUGAAUUCGCCUUCCUUGGUGGAAGCGAAUGGAAAAACUCCCACAAAAAGGGAGUUUUGUUUUUUUUAAAAAAAACAGCAAAUAAACCUCAGACCCCCAGCUGAAAAAUGCUGGAAGAUCAGAGAUUCUCGGAGGAAAGAGGUCCUGGACUUUGGCAAAUUGUCUUGUCGGUUUGGGCUGUAAGGUGUCCAAGCCAACACCAAGCACCAAGAGGCGAACUGCUGCAGGCUGGGCCACUUUCAUCUAGGAUCCCUUCCUGAUUACCAGAUGUCAGUCGAGAAAAAUGAUGAGACAAGUCUCAAUCAUUUUAGGAGAUGUAUUUGUCAAAGUUAAGAAAGCGCACAGGAGACAGGUCUAUGCUUUCUCCGAAGAUGAUUUUGAGGGUUCCAAAUUUAAAGGGGAAAGGGCAGGAUAUUGAGAAGCACACAGUUUUUACAUAAACAAAAGAGGCAGGGAAAAAAUAUGGGGAAUCUGCAUUUUACCUAAGAUAAUACGGACAAAAUGGGGUAGGGGAACAAUCAGGUACACAUUUUUGUCUGGUGGGCUGGGGUGACCGCACCUGUAAAGCUAAGCUAUCAAUUUGCAUUGUCGGCUGGGCACAGUGGCACACGCCUGUAAUCCCAGCACUUUGGGAGGCUGAGGCGGGUGGAUCACCUGAGGUUGGGAGUUUGAGACCAACCUGCCCAAGGUGGUGAAACCCAGUCUCUACUAAAAAUACAAAAAAAAAAAAAAAAAAAAUUAGUCAGGUGUGGUGGCGG